GAAUAUGCAUGAAUUUAACAGCACUGUGACAUUGUGCUUUAUGUUAUUUCUUCCAGACCGAUGUAUGUCUUCUAAGGACUCAUCUCCAGCAAUGAAUGUAAGUGAUAUUGAAAAUGAAUUCAAUGCCAUACGGUUUUGCUAUCCAGAAAGUCAAAAAUACCCAUAAAGGCUACAUUUUCAUCUUUUAGCUUGACCUUACUACAAUUAAAUAAACUUUAAAAUAUUUUAUUGUGAAUUUUUCAAGUAUGACUAUAACAUAGGAAGUAUAUACAAAAAAUAGACAUUUGCCCCAAACAUAUAAACACAUUCUAAAAUACUCCAGUAAAGUCACCCAGCUGUAUAAAUGGAGAAAUAAUUGUUGGAGGACAGAAUCAGCUAAAUGAAUAAAUGUAAAUUUGGAAGGACUGUGGGGCAAGUAGACACAUUUAGGGUACCAGGCGUUCAGUCAGUUCCUGUCCAAGAGUCUCCACUUGGACUGAACAGGUCUGACUGUCCAGAGUGAGAAAUGGAGCAACAAACUACAGCCCAGGGUCACAGGGCUCAAGGUCCUGGGGAAAGAACAGCUGAGAACUUGGAGCAAAAACCUGCACACAUGGAGUCCUGCGUGAAAUGAUGCAGAAACCUGUGGACCCUGUAGAAUAACGUGUGAAUUGUCAUUUCUAGAAAAGUCCCGAUACUCCACCCAGAGUGCCGAGAAGGAAUGUUCCAGGUAAUCAAUGACAGGGGGUGCUGUGUAUCUGAUUUUGACCAUGAUGCAAGAUAUUGUAGACAAAUUUACUUCUUUCUCCCUUCCACCUAGUACCAGUGUCUGAGACGUGGAAAAAAAAAAUCAGGCAAAGUUAAACCUGAACUGCUUAUACAACGGGAGACCAAAAAUAAAUGUACUGUUAUUAUUAUUGAAGAUGUGUGUGUGUUAUUAUUAUUAUUAUUAUUAUGUGUCUUAUCAAAAAACGUAGGACCUGCUGUCCACAGAGAACUGAAGCCCAGCCGGCAGCAGAGAGCUCAGCAGGCCUAGCCUGUUCACUUCCCAGAGGUAAUGUUCCCUUUACAGCAUCUCCCCUGAGCACAGUUUCACAAUACAGGCCAGGACAAGAGAGCUGAACUGUGCGUGUAGAAUACAUUUACAUUUACAUUUAUUCAUUUAGCAGAUGCUUUUGUCCAAAGUGACAUGCAUCUCAGCAAAAGUACAAUUUAUGCAUUACAUUAAGAGAAAGACAGCUACAGACGUGUGACUUAAGUAAACCUAGUUUGUUCCCUACCACUUGCUGCACCAAGGUUCAUUGUUCAAGUAGGUGCAUGUGUAUUUUUUAAAUAACAUUAUAAAAUACACAAGCCAACAAAAACAAUGC
rnacentral:lncRNA from 1 species